CUGAUAAUUUUAAAUGGCCGCAGAAUUUUAACUGUGCAAAGGUAGCAUAAUCAUUAGUCUUUUAAUUGAGGGCUUGUAUGAAUGAUUGAACGAGAUAUAGACUGUCUCAAAUAUAGAUAUAUAGAAUUUUAUUUUUUAGUAAAAAAGCUAAAAUGAAUUUAAAAGACGAGAAGACCCUAUAGAUCUUUAUAUGAAAAUAUAAUAUUUUUUUAAGGUUUAUUUUUAAAAUAUUAUAUUUUCAUGUUUUAUUGGGGCGAUAUUGAAAUUUAAAAAACUUUCAAUUAUUUAUUUCACUAAUUAGUGAUUUUUUGAUCCUUUAUUAUUGAUUAAAAAUUUAAGUUACCUUAGGGAUAACAGCGUAAUUAUUUUGGAGAGUUCAUAUCGAUAAAAUAGAUUGCGACCUCGAUGUUGGAUUAAGAAAAAUCUUAGGCGUAGCAGUUUAGGGUAUUAAGUCUGUUCGACUUUUAAUUUCUUACAUGAUC
rnacentral:rRNA from 1 species